rnacentral:lncRNA from 10 species
GCGGGCUGGGGUGGGAUGGGCCUGUCAGCAUAGCAAGGGCUGUGAUGGGCUUGAGUCUGACAGGGGGCAAUGACCUGACCUACGGUUUUGUAAGAUCACUCUGGCUGCCACCUGGAGAGCUGGUGUGGGGAUGAUGGCCAUGGUAGACACAAGGGGAGCAGUUAGGAGACCACCACAAGUGACCAUGCGGCCCAGGCGAGUAGGGUAGCAACAGAGAUGGGGAGAGGAGGUCAGAUUUGUGAUCUGUAUCUGAAGGUGGAAUGGACAGGAAUUGCUGAUGAGCUUGGGUGUGGUGCAUGAGGGAAAGAGAGAAAUAAGCAUCAUUCUUAGGAUUUGUCCUGA